UGAGGAAUAUUGGUCAAUGGACGGAAGUCUGAACCAGCCAAGUAGCGUGCAGGAUGACGGCCCUAUGGGUUGUAAACUGUUUUUGUAUGGGGAUAAAGUUAGGGACGUGUCCCUAUUUGCAGGUACCAUACGAAUAAGGACCGGCUAAUUCCGCGCCAGCAGCCGCGGUAAUACGGAAGGUCCAGGCGUUAUCCGGAUUUAUUGGGUUUAAAGGGAGCGUAGGCUGGAGAUUAAGUGUGUUGUGAAAUGUAGACGCUCAACGUCUGAAUUGCAGCGCAUACUGGUUUCCUUGAGUACGCACAACGUUGGCGGAAUUCGUCGUGUAGCGGUGAAAUGCUUAGAUAUGACGAAGAACUCCGAUUGCGAAGGCAGCUGACGGGAGCGCAACUGACGCUUAAGCUCGAAGGUGCGGGUAUCAAACAGG
rnacentral:rRNA from 1 species